GGGAGGGACCUGGUGGAAGGUAAUUGAAUCAUAGGGACAGUUUUCUGCCACGCGGUUUCUCCAUAGUGAGUGUGUUAUCAUGAGAUAUGAUAGUUUAAAAGUGUGUGGCAGUUCCCCCAUCUUGCUCUCUCUCCCGCCACCAGAUUUGAAAAACCUAUGGAAAGAGAGCAAACAACUGGCCCAAAAUCUAAGGAGAGAAAAUAUCUCCAGGGAGAAAGGAGAUUUGCACCCAUGAUCAUCUGAAGGUCUGAGCAGAGAGACAGAAGCCAGCACAGCUGCAGGAGAGAUGAAAUGAGGUUCUAAGCCACCUUACAGCUUGUAUUGGCCCCACAAGUCUUUUUGUUCAUUGGUUACGUGAGUCAAAUUUGUAUCCCUAAAUCCAGAAUAUGCUGCCUCCAGAACCCAAAGAAGCCUGAGAAGCAUGGUGAUUACUACUUAGUGGUGGAAAGAAUGAGUUAUACACAAGAUGAAUGGAUUAACCACUGGAAGACCUGUACUAUUACAAAUGUUAAAGAAAGUCUUUCCAAGAAAGAAAAAAGGCAACUUAAUGGAAACUUGUGUCUACCAAAUCGAAAGAAGAGCAAUGGGAAUCCUAACUAUAUGCCUUACAUCCAAUGAAUGAAUGAAGAAACAAAUGAAUGAAGAAACCAUAAAUAAGUAAAUAAUUUUUAAAAACCAAAUAGGAUAGAAGAGGAAUCAUGAGCUGACAUUCAAUGUAUUGUACAAGGUACAUAAUUGUUUCAACCAAUUUGAGUGUAACUCAUAAUACUUUAUACAUUUUAAAGAAAAAAUAUUUUUAUAUUCUGGUCACAGUAUAUGAUCAUUUUGGGAAAAAUAAGUGCGAAAGCACUUUAAAAAUACUAGUGGAUUAAAUUUUGUAAAAGUUCACAAAAGGAGCACUGUGUGACAUGGAAAUUAUAUCUGCUCAAGGACUUAGAGUGCAAAAGCAACUUGGCUAAUGCUGAAAGGAAUGAUGCUCUGGGGAAAAAAAGGAUUCUAAUAAAAAUGGAAAUGAUGACUUACUACAUUCCUACGCUUCUUCAGGCUACUGAUCAUCCUGCCAUUGUAUGCACCAUCACUUUGCCAUUUAUCAUUGCAGGGUAGACUGAAGAACACUUUUGCAGCUGACUAACAACUCUUGAUAUUGAGAAAGUUAUAAGAAUUAUUUGCAAAUCUCCUGUCAGAUUUGCAAAGGAUGCUGGCAUUUCUCCAUGAGGCAGGAGUGUGAGAAAAAAAGUUGAAUGUGGUGAUGGGGAAAACACUGAAGUUCAAAAGAAGCGAAGACAGGAAGCUACUCAUGGAAGCAGCUUUUCUCAUAAAUCAAGAAAUGCUACAGAUUAUAAAUGAGAUGAGACUGUCAAGAUGAGACCUAACAGGAGUGUGAAGACCAAAAAUUUAAAAGACAUGGUUAUAUGCUUUGAGUAAACUCUAUAUAUAGGACAGUGUUAUUGUUUGGUUCUGUGUUCCCCACUCAAAUCUCACCUCAAAUUAUAAUCCCCAUGUGUCAAGGGCAGGACCAGGUGGAGGUAAUUGGAUCAUGGGGGAAGUUUUCCUCAUGCUUUUCUCACAGUGAGUGAGUUCUCAUGAGAUCUGAUUUUUUUAUAAGCAUAUGGCAUUUCCCCUCCUAGCAUUUUGCCUCCUGCUGCCUUGCAAAGAAGGCACUUGCUUCCCCUUUGCCUUCCGCCAUAUCUGUAAGUUCCCUGAGUCCUCUCCAGCCAUGUGGAACUGUGGGUUAAUUAAAUCUCUUUCCUUAUAAAUUACCCAGUCUUGGGCAGUUCUUUAUAGCAGUGUGAAACUGGACUAAAAUAGAAAAUUGGUACCAGGAGAGUGAGGCACUGCUGUAAAGACACCGCUGUAAAGACACCUGAAAAUGGAAGCAACUUUGGAACUAGCUAAUGGGCAGAGGUUGGAACCAUUUUCAGGGUUCAGAAGAAGACAUGAAGAUGUGGGAAAGUUUGGAAAUUCCUGGAGACUUGUUGAAUGCUUUGACGAAAAUGCUGAUAGUGAUAUGGACAAUAAAUUUCAGGCUGAGAUGCUCUCAGAUACAGAUAAAGAACUUGUUGGGAACUGGAAUAAAGGUGACUAUUGCUAUAUAUGCUUUAGCAAAGAGACUGGUGGCAUUUUGCCCCUGUCCUAGAGACCUGUAGAGCUUUGAACAUGAGAGAGAUGAUUUAGAAUAUCUGGUGGAAGAAAUUUAUAUGCAGCAAAGUGUUCAAGAAGUGACUCGGGUGCUCUUAAAACCAUUCAGUUGUAUGCAUUCACAAAGAUAUGGUUUGGAAUUGGAACUUACAUUUAAAAGGGAAACAGAGAAUAAGAGUUCAGAAAAUUUGCAGCCUGAUGAUGCAAUAGAAAAGAACAAUCUCAUUUUCUGGGGAGAAAUUCAAGACUGCUGCAGAAAUUUGCGUAAGUAACAAGGAGACAAGUGUUAGUCACCAAGACAAUGGAGAAUAUGUCCGCAGUCCAUGUCAGAUGUCUUCACUGCAAGCCCUCCAAUCACAGGCCUGAAAGACUAGGAGAGAAAAAAAUAAUUUUGUGGGCCACGCCCAGGGACUUGCUGCUUUGUGCAGUCUCUGAACUUGGUGCCCUGCAUCCCAGCUGUGUCUAAUAGUGGCCAACAUACAGCUCAGGCCAUUGAUUUAGAGGGUGAAAGCCCCAAGCCAUGGUGUCUUACAUGUGGUUUUGGGCCUGCAGAUGCACAGAUGUCAAGAAUUGAGGUUUGAGAACCUCCACCUAGAUUUCAGAGGAUGUAUGAAAACUCUUGGAUGUCCAGGCAGAAGAGUACUACAGGGGCAGAGCUCUCCAUGGAGAACCUCUGUUAGGGCAGUGCAGAGUCCCCACUGGGGCGCUGACUAGUGGAACUGUGAGAAGAAGGCCACCAACCUCCAGACCCCAGAAUGGUAGAUCCACCAACAUCUUGCAUCGUACACCUAGAAAAGUCACAGAUGCUCAACGACAUCUCAUGAAGGCAGCCAGGAGAGGGGCUGUAUCCUGUAAAGCCACAGGGGCAGAGCUGCCCAACGCUGUGGUAUCCCACCUCCUACAUCAGUGUGAUUCGAUGUGAGACAUGUAGUCAAGUGAGGUCAUUUUGGAACUUUUAAGACUUAAUGACUGCUUUAUUGUAUUUUGGACUUGCAUGAGGCUUGUAGCCCCUUUGUUUUAGCCAAUUUAUCUUAUUUGGAAUGGGACUAUCUAUCCAAAGCCUGUACCCCAUUGUAUCUGGGAAGUAACUGACUUGCUUUGGAUUUUACAAGCUCAUAGGCAGAAGGGACUUCCCUUGUCUCAGAUGAGACUUUGGACUGUGGCCUUUUGAGUUAAUGUUAAAAUGAGUUAAGACUUUGAGGAACUGUUGGGAAGGCAUGAUUAGUUUUGAAAUGUAAAAAGACAUGAGAUUUGGGAGGGGCCAAGGACAGAAUAAUACGGUUUGGCUCUGUGUCGCCUUCCAAAUUUCACCUUUAAUUGUAAUCGCCAUAACCCCCACAUGUCAAUGGUGGAAACAGGUAGAGGUAAUUGGAUCAUGGAGGCAGUUUCUUCUAUGCUGUUAUUCAUGACAGUGAAUGAGUUUUCAUGAGAUCUGAUGGUUUUAUAAGCAUCUGGCAUUUCUUCUGCUUGCACUUCUCAUUCCUGCCACCUUGUGAAGAAGGUGAUUUUCUUCCCAUUUGCGUUCAACCAUUAUUAUAAGUUUCCAGAGGCAAACCCAGCCACGCAGAAGUGUGAGUCAAUUAAACCUCUUUUUUUAAUAAAUUACCAGUCUCAAACAGUUCUUUAUAGCAGUAUGAAGACAGACUAAUACAGAAAGAUAUAGCUGUUUUGGAAACAUCAGAAGUACAGUUGUAGCAAUAAAUAAAAUAUGAAUAGAUUAACUUUUGUACACCUAUUUGUGUUGAAAGCACCAGGAGUCAUAGCCAACCAUCACUUUAACAUUUCUCCAGCUAAUUCUUCUGAUUUAUUUUUAUGUUGGGUUAGCUAGUGACUACCCCACUAGCUAAAAAAUAUUUUUAAAAGUAUGUAUGUUAAUAUAUCUUGACUACUUUUUAAUUUUCCAAUUAAAAAAUAAAUCACAUUUUAA